AUUGAACGCUGGCGGCAUGCCUUACACUUGCAAGUCGAACGGUAACGCGGGGCAACCUGGCGACGAGUGGCGAACGGGUGAGUAAUGUAUCGGAACGUGCCCAGUAGUGGGGGAUAGCCCGGCGAAAGCCGGAUUAAUACCGCAUACGACCUAAGGGUGAAAGCGGGGGAUCGCAAGACCUCGCGCUAUUGGAGCGGCCGAGAGCAGAUUAGGUAGUUGGUGGGGUAAAGGCCUACCAAGCCGACGAUCUGUAGCUGGUCUGAGAGGACGACCAGCCACACUGGGACUGAGACACGGCCCAGACUCCUACGGGAGGCAGCAGUGGGGAAUUUUGGACAAUGGGCGCAAGCCUGAUCCAGCCAUGCCGCGUGCGGGAAGAAGGCCUUCGGGUUGUAAACCGCUUUUGUCAGGGAAGAAAAGGUCUGAACUAAUACUUUGGGCUCAUGACGGUACCUGAAGAAUAAGCACCGGCUAACUACGUGCCAGCAGCCGCCGUAAAAC
rnacentral:rRNA from 1 species